AACGAACGCUGGCGGCGUGGAUAAGACAUGCAAGUCGAACGGGAUUACUUUUGGUAGCAAUAUCGAAAGUAAUUCAGUGGCGAACGGGUGCGUAACACGUGGGCAAUCUGCCGAAAAGUGGGGGGAUAGCUCGCCGAAAGGCGAAUUAAUACCGCAUGUGGUGAGGGACGACAUCUUCCUGAAUCCAAAGCCGGGGGCAACCUGGCGCUUUUUUGAGGAGCCCGCGGCCUAUCAGCUAGNGGUGAGGUAACGGCCCACCAAGGCUAUGACGGGUAGCUGGUCUGAGAGGACGACCAGUCACACUGGAACUGAGACACGGUCCAGACACCUACGGGUGGCAGCAGUCGAGAAUUUUUCUCAAUGGGGGAAACCCUGAAGGAGCGACGCCGCGUGGAGGAUGAAGGCUUUCGGGUUGUAAACU
rnacentral:rRNA from 1 species